CCGUCCAGGUCCAGCCGCCCUCUCUCUCUCCGCCGCCCUCCUCGCCCCCGGCGACGGCGCGCACACAGCGAUCCCCACUCAUACUUGCCCCGAGCCAAACUGGACUGGGAGCGGGCCGGAAACAUAUCCGGACUCGGAUUGAUUUCCUCUCUCGUCGGUCGGUUAGUAAACAAAACCUAGCUUCCUCCCAGUCAGGCGGAGUUGGUUCUGCUCCCAAUCAGGAGAAUCCAAGUAUUUUUUCUUCCUCCCACUCCGUUUAGUUGCGGAUUUUCUUGCUGCCUGAGAAGGCUGCUGAUCCAAUUCCUCAGUCCGUCCCUCCUUGGGGCUCGAUUUGUCUCUUCGUCUUCUUCAGCGCGCAGAUCGAUUACGGUGGACGCUUACCACAGGACCUUCCGACAUCAAGCUCUGUUGAUUCGGUAGAUGGAGGUGCCAAUGAACUCUGCGCAGUCCGGUGCUCACUUCCCAGUUCAGCAUCGGUCCCUCUCGCUAGACAUCAAGGGCAAUAAGACAGACAUUGUUUUAAGUAAAUAUGAAGAUACCUUUCUGGUGAUUGUGACACAAAUUGGCUGCAUGGGGACCAUACUGGCUGCCAAGAAAGAUGAAAGUGUUUUCUCGGACCCGACCUACAAUGUGACUGUUCUUUUCGGGAAGAGAGAUGAGCCCGUCCUACUAGCUUGUGCACGCCAACUUAUUGAGCACAUAAGGUACACCAUUUUCGUACUAUUGGGUACACAAAGAAAUCAUAUAUAUUGAGAACUCACGCAGCAUUGUACAUUCAUUUUUGUAGUGGCAGUGGCUCAGCACGGUCAUUAGUGAUCUCUCUUGGUCUGAAAGAUCAUUCUCAGGGAACACUUAAGGAUAUAAUUGCAGCUGUGAUUGUGAAUCGUCUUUGGUGAUGGUUUUGAUCAACUGAGCUGGAGUUGGGAUGCACUGAGCCGCUGAAGACACUGACGUGAACAUAUAACAAUGAGCAAGAUGAACCCUCAUUUUAUCACGUAUGAAAUUCCUAGAUCUUUGUAGGCAGAAUUUCUUUUCUACUUUAACAAAUAUAAGAGGUGGUUUUUAAGCUGUUCCGUGAUUGAUAUUGUCCUACCAUGGGCGAGGUGGGGGUGGUGGUUGAGCCUUCUCCUGUUGCCAAGAGUCGGGUCUCUCGUGCUAAACAAAAUCACUUUCGGGGGAAGCAUCUUGUUUUUUCCUCCCAUGUUGCAAGCAAGUUUUUGCUAUCCAAUCCAUUCAUCUGACAAACACAUGAAUGCCACUUGCCCUAGCCAAGCAAGAAUGAGCUCCCAUCCUGUUAGGCACUUAUAGGCUAGUAAAACAAGCUCUUUGUUCCCAUUAAUUUACAUUGAAGUGGUUUCUUCAA